CCCCACCCUCCCACCUUCACACCCGCACACAUCCACACACCGCGUGGGUCAACGGCCGCAGUAACUCUGACUCUCUUAAGGUAGCCAAAUGCCUCGUCAUGUAAUUAGUGACGCGCAUGAUGGAUUAACGAGAUUCCUACUGUCCCUAUCUACUAUCUAGCGAAACCACAGCCAAGGGAACGGGCUUGGAAUAAUUAGCGGGGAAAGAAGACCCUUUUGAGCUUGACUCUAAUCUGGCAGUGUAAGGAGACAUAAGAGGUGUAGAAUAAGUGGGAGAUAUUAGACUUCGGUUUGGUAUCGACAAUGAAAUACCACUACUCUUAUUGUUUCCUUACUUACUUGAUUAAAUGGAACGUGUAUCAUUUCCUAGCCAUUAUACGGAUGUAUUUAUUAUAUCUUAUGGUAUUGGGUUUUGAUGCAAGCUUCUUGAUCAAAGUAUCACGAGUUUGUUAUAUAAUCGCAAACAAAUUCUUUAAUAAGAAAAUGCAUUUAUGUAUUUUUGAUUUAAAAAUUUGGUAUAACUCCAAUUACUCAGGUAUGAUCCAAUUCAAGGACAUUGCCAGGUAGGGAGUUUGACUGGGGCGGUACAUCUCUCAAAUAAUAACGGAGGUGUCCCAAGGCCAGCUCAGUGCGGACAGAAACCACACAUAGAGCAAAAGGGCAAAUGCUGACUUGAUCUCGGUGUUCAGUACACACAGGGACAGCAAAAGCUCGGCCUAUCGAUCCUUUUGGUUUAAAGAGUUUUUAACAAGAGGUGUCAGAAAGAAACAGAGAGAGAGAGAGAGAGAGAGAAAGAAACAGAGAGAGAGAGAAAGAGAGGAGGGAAUGGAAAUCUACCUAUAGAAAAAAAAACGU
rnacentral:ncRNA from 1 species